CCGAGGGAACUUCAGCAUCGCUCUGUUUAAGGGGGGAACAUUUCGUUUUUUCAGAAGGGUCUAGCGUUAGCAGCGAGGCACUGGUAGUUGAAUGUAAGGUCACAAACCUUUCAAGUGGCCAUUGAUGCCUUCGUGGGGGUGUCACUCUUUCUUGGGCGGGAAAAGGUCAGGCGUCUUCGGUCUUUUUGCGUUUCCACCACAUUGUUGUCAGCUCGUUUUCCCCUCUUGCCUUCCCUUCAUUUUUGCACCCCAUGUACCACUUCUUCCCGGUGCAUCCUUCACUCGACCACGUCCGCCAAGGGCUUCUUCGAUUUUGGUGACUGUGUGCGCCCUUGUCCCUUCCUCGUCAUCCUCAUUUCGUUCUCACCCGUAUUUGGCCGCUCUGCGUGUAGUGCGUGUUUCGGUGUCUUCCUCCUCCCCUGGGGAAAGUGCGUUGUUGUACCUAGGAUGCUGAACAUGACACCAGUUAGUAGAUACAGACAACCAAGUUGCUUUUGUGAUUGCUGAGCACCUUUGCUCGGUCGCUCUGUCUCCCAGGGUCUGACUUCUCUCUCUCCUCACACUUCUUACGCUUCUCCAGCGCUUUGUAUGCUUAGUUCUCUGUUGCCGCCUGGCCAUCCAAUCGAGAACCACAUCUGCAUGAAGGGGAGUGUUCGAUAUACCACUCUUCUUUGGCCCUCCAGACCCGCUGUGUUUCAACUUCAGUCACCGACGCCAGCCCCACCCUCACAUUCCUCGUCUCCCGUAUCAAAUUUUUCCCUAUGCAAACAUUUCCAGGCAUGCAGGGACCAUCACAGCAACUGAUUACAGCGGCCACGAACGUCCGUGUCGGAGGAUUUUCGAGCGAAGCACACCAAGAUGGGUCAGAUGGAGACGAACCGACGACAGAAAUAUUCAAGGAGUGGUCGAAACGUGGGGACGACAGCUUCUCUGUUGACACUUCAUGCUCUGCGUGUUCCAGAUUUCUCCGAAUUCUCGUCGUUGGCGAUGCCGGGACAGGCAAGUCAUCGCUUCUUCAUUCUCGUUGCCACACUUCUUGGCCUCUCAACUACUCCGGAUGACUCCGACACUGUCAUCGAGGAACGAGUUGGGAAGCUCCGAAAAUCCGAGAUGGCGGACGAUUCGAUGAUGCGGGUCCAGCGGAAUGGUGUAAGAGAGUAGAUAGACAAGAGACAGCAUCUGGGAGAGGGAGGCAAGAGAAAGCGAUAAGAGAGGCAACAAGUUCGUACGCCUUCAGGGCCCAGGCGGGGCACGGAAAAACUUCCUGUGAUGUUGGCGACGAAGAGGCGAGUUCUUUGAUGAGCAACAAAGGCGACGUUUGUGGGGAAGGAAGAGAAGAACAGGCAAGUUUCUGCGCGUCGUCCGAAAGAUGCCUCUCAGGGACGGCCGCACCUGCUGAGGUAGAGAUUCCACCGAAUGGUCAAACCGCCAUGCACGAUCAGUCCAAGUGUCAUACCCCAGAAUCAUCCUGUCCUUUCGUUGCGUGGGCUGAGGAAAAGGCAAAGCGGGAGAAAUUGCCGGCAACCCUGAUGACUUCCUCUUCUUUCUCUCCCAGUAUAGCGUCGAGCCGGUCACCGGCCAUCCCUCCAUCGUGUUCCCCCACUGUUGCUUGUGGCCUCUCCCCGUCUUCCUCGUUUUCUUUCGCUUCGUCCUUCCGUCGUCACCCGUUAUCUUCUUCGAGUCAUUCUCGCUUUCCUUCCUCUACAUCCCGAGUGGAGAGCAGGCAGUCCGCGUCGGAGACAACCUCGCCAGGUAUUGAGUCUUUGUACUCCGCAGAGGAACAAGACCGUCCCGCAUGUCGCCACCCAGGGGCCUACGAGUGGAAGUGUGGAGUCCGAAUUUUUCAUCUUUUCUGGGAUUUCUCCUCGGCAGACUACUCUGCGAGGGAAGGAAACAUCCGCUUGGCUACGUUCUCUCCAGCGCCUUCCAGUCCGUGUGUCAAUGCGUCCAGCAGGAGCUCACCGCAAGACCCCUCAUUCGUUGCGGAUCCCACUUCAUCUUCAUCCUGUCCCUCGUUACCGUGUUCCUCUCAGUGCCCGUCUCCAACAGCAUUUGCUUCCUCACCUUCGGGGUCUGUCUACCGGUCAAGUUGUCCAGUAGAAUUUUGGGAGGUUGGAGGCACUGAAGCACUCGAGAGCGUCCGGAGUCUCGUGUAUGGGCAGCACUUUGACGGCGUUUGCGUUUGCUUCGAAGCGACGUCUUCCGCCUCCUUCCACCAUGCUGCUCUCUGGACACGGGAACUCUGCGUAAGUCUCCACUUGCCUUCGUCUUUUCUUUUUCCUUCCAGCAAGCCUCCUGCUUCCGCCUCGAGCAACGGCAGUGCCUUCCUCUCGCCGCCCUCGUCCCUCUCGUAUUGGCCCUCAACUUUCUCUGUCGCAGCAGUUCCAGCUUAGCCGGCGGGGUAGACGCGGGACGGGGCCGCGGGAGGAAGAGUCCGAAGGAUAUACGCAAGUCACCGUUGACAAACUGCGCACAGAGUCGUCUACCGAAAGUCGAUCUGCAGUGUCUUCUGUGAUUCAGUCGCCUCCGUUGUCUGUGGGGAACGCAAUCCGCACCACCGCGAGCACUGUGGUAAGCCUUGGAUCUCUAAUCGCCUCUCCAGUUAACUCCCUGCUCGCGGGCGAGAGGGAGCGCGAAACUGUUGACCCCGAUGACAGGGACGAAGACGAGACUUCGGGACUCAAAAAGACGGAACGGGACUUCGGAAAGAAUGGCAACAGCAGAGCAGGAUUCGCCUUGAGGAAAUUGGGAGCUAGAGGGCCAGGCCGCCUCGUUUCCUCGUUCUUUUCCUGUUCUUCAGUGGGCAUGAGAGCAAGUCGGAGCAGUGCCGACAGCAAUGGCAACAGUGACGGAGAUGAACAAGGCAGAGAAGAAAGGGACGAAGGUGCGUGUGCAGAACGGUCUGAGGAGGGCAGUCUAGAUGCAUGGGAGCAGGCGGAUUCUAAGACCGAGACGCCAGCGAUUUCAAACAGGAAUAAGGAAGAAACUUGUGAGAGGUCGGAUAGAGAAGGAAGCGCAGAAUCCACAGAAGACGACAGGAGCAUCGACUCGUUUUCGGUUUCCUGUGCCUCGAACAAAGAACGUGAGCAACAUCAUCUCGCCAUCCGUCUUCUGCAAGGUGUCUGUCCUCUCCUCCUCGUGGGGACCAAACAUGACCUUCUCCCGUUCAGCCCGUCUCGCCAGCAGCUGUCAGCUUUGGAGCCUUCUGGGUCAGGGACAGAGGCCGGAGACAAGAGUUUUCUUCCCUUUCUGAAACUUCUACGAAGUCGCUCGUACGUGUUCAAUAGUCUCCCCUUUUUUACUAACGCUUCGUCACUGAGACAAGCAGAGGCGGAGAACCUUGAAUCUGAAACGAAACAGCGUUGCCUCCGCUCGCCGGGUUGCAGGCGACAUCCAAAGAGCAAACUGGGCCGCCGCCAGUUAAGGAUCUCGCGUUCGCUCGUAGCCAGUUCUGCCAGAGUUCCUUCGGGACAACGAGCGAGAAUUUCCUUGCGCGUUUUUGUGGGGGGCUGGGGACUCGCAAGUUGUCUUGGUGCGAAUCCCGUCUAGACAUGGACGCAGAAGAAAAUGCUCGGCUGAGUCGCAGAAUUUGCUAUAUUCUAAAUUCGUCGCCUCUCCUCCUUACCAGUGCCUGGUUCCACUCCUUCGACGUCACCACGCUUUCUGCCUCUUUCUCAGACGCGUUGCUCUGUCAGAGACUCUUUCAGCAGCAGGCGCAAACGGCGCAACCUGGGAAAAUGGAAACACCACACUACUGCCCAGGCAUUUCAGAGUCGGAAGAGAGACUCUGCCCUCACACCUCCCAGGGGGAAAACACGGGGCGGCGGAAGGUCGACAGUACACGUCCUAGACCGCUCAUAUCACACCAAAGGAGCUCUUCCACUCCUUAUAACCAUUUGCAAAGAAGGUCUCCCUAGAAGGGGGUAAGAGGGGUUUACCCGUGGGUGUUAUUCCACGAAUACUCGGUGUGAUUGCGGGUCAGUCGGCGGCAACAAGGGUCGGUCUAUAGUGCACUAGGGAGGAAAACGCCCGUGCCUUAGUGUGGUUUCUCAUGUACGGAAACUGGCGCAUGUGUUCCCUUUUAAGCCACGUACGCUUAGCUCCGUAUCCAUGGAAGACAGCGAGCAGUAUGCGUGUCAGCGAAAGGCGCGAGUGCGCACGCGCUUUCUUCGGCGAAACAUCGGGUUUUUUAGGACCAGAAAAAGUUGCCGGGGACGUGCCUCGUGUGGGCAGCAGCCAGCUUGGUAGUUGACAACGGAUUCAAGAUUCGCAUGCAGCGGCAAAGCGAACUGGAUUUGUGUAAGAGAAACCCUCCGAUGUUUAUGAUGUAAGGACACAAGGUGGGAACAGCAGUGCCUUGCUGUUUCUCGUCAGUCGUCGUGGCAGCGACGGGUCAGUGCAGUUCUGUUCUUGAGACAGACUCAGGUAGGAACGAUAGUCCGCCGUCAGAUAAAAUCGUUGAGUCGGGUUAAGAACCUCCGGCCUUACAUGCCCUAUCUAUCAUUUGAAAUGAAAAAAAGUGCGUCAAAUAGAACACCCAGGCCCAUGCAACCGGAUUCAGUGUC
rnacentral:lncRNA from 1 species